GUCCAUAUGUUUAGUUUUAUAUGGUCUGGCCUGCUCACUGAUGAUUAAAUUAAAGAGCCGCGGUAUUUUGACCGUGCGAAGGUAGCAUAAUAAUUAGUCUCCUAAUUAGAGGCUUGUAUGAAUGGUCGGACAAGAUGGAAACUGUCUCAAUACAAUACAUAAAAUUUAAUAUUUAAGUAAAAAAGCUUAAAUAAAAUGGAGGGACGAUAAGACCCUAUAAAGCUUUAUGAUACUUUUCUUUUUUAUAAAUUGUUUUGUUAUUAACCUAUUUUAGAAUUAGUAUUAUUUUACUGGGGCGGUAAAAGUAUAAUAAAAGAAUAACUGCUUUUGUUUUGUAUAACAAUUUUAGUUGGAAAUAAAUUGAUCCAUUAUUAAUGAUCAUAAGAACAAGUUACUUUAGGGAUAACAGCGUAAUUUUUUUUGAGAGUUCUUAUCGAAAAAAAAGUUUGCGACCUCGAUGUUGAAUUAAGGUUACCUUAAGGUGCAGCAGUUUUAAAGGUAGAUCUGUUCGAUCUUUAAAUCCUU
rnacentral:rRNA from 1 species